ACAUGCACUGCACACCUAUCAUGUACCAGGAGCAGAGUGUGGUGAUUCAGAGUGUAAUCCUGGAGGCAAAACAACUUGGGAUGGAAUCCAUUCCCACUACAUGUUAGCUCUGUGACCUUGGUUAUUGAAGAUGAAAAGAGAUGGCAAGAGGAAAAUCUAGUGCCCAGAAUACAGGAAGCGCUCAGUCAAUGGAAGAUCAGCCCUGAGCUAACAUCUGCCGCCAAUCCUCCUCUCCUUGCUGAGGAAGACUGGUCCUGAGCCGACAUCCAUGCCUAUCUUCCUCUACUGUAUAUGUGGGACACCUACCACAGCAUGGCUUGACAAGCAGUGCAUAGGUCCACACCCAGGAUCCAAACCAGCAAACCUUGGGCCGCCAAAGCCGAACAGGCAAACUUAACUUCUGUGCCACCAGCCAGCUCCUCACGGGGAUGUUUUUAUAUGAAAAUUAAUGUGAAAAAUUAAUGCUGUUUUGGAUUUCUUGGAAGAACUCAUACGCAUCCAUCAUCUUUUGGCUCAAGCAAGUAUUUCUCUCUGGGGUUACCAUCCAUCACAAAUCCUGUAAACAAAAAAAAGUCCUUUGAAAUUUCAUACAUGGCUGGUGGGAAUAUAAAUUGGUACAACCACUUUGGAGAACUGUUUAGGAGUUCUUGCAAAGCUGAAUAUUUGCAUAUCCUAUUUCACCCCUUCACACACACCCAACAGAAAUGCAUACAUAAGUUUACCAAAGACAUGUACUAGAAUGUUCAUAGUCACACUGAUCAUAAUAACUUAAAACCGUAAACUGCUCAAAUAAUCAUCCACAGCAGAAUGGAUAAAUAAAUCAUAAUAUCUUCACACAAUAGAAUACUAUACAGCAAAGAAAGUGAAUUAUCUACAAUUAUAUGCAAAAGUAGAUGAAUUUCACACUCCUGAGUUUGGAUUAAAGAAGCUAAACUUCAAUUAAAAGUUGAAAUCAACCCCAAGGAUGUAUAUGCGAAGUGUAGCUGUUGAUGCUCACCAAGGGCAAGCUGGCAUUUAUUUAUAGAAGGACCCCUUUUCUUUUUAAAAAGGUGCGAGAAGAUCCCACACACUGUAACCCCUGAACACUCUUUUCCUGACUCACCAUUUUGGUUGUCUUUAGAGAAGUUUGACAAAAAAAUGCCUGAAAAAAGAUUUACCCGUAAGGUGUAUUUUACAAAAGUUUUAUGAGUUGAGAUAAUUUAACUAGGCCUUCGAAAAUGAAGGAACAUGUUAGCUUCAUGUUCAUAGCAACUUUCUGUUCACCUCAAAACCUGCCUUGAACAGAGCUCGGAAAGAAAUGCUGCUGAACUGGCCAGCUGAGCGAGGUGUUCAGAAACGACUUCAGAAAAAAUUGUGCAUUUCAAAGCAUUUGAAAAAAGUAUAGCCUUAUUGCUGUGUACAUGGUUUUAAAAAUUCCUUCUUAAAACGGCUUUCUUUCUUAUAAAAAUUAUGUGAUGUAUGUUCAUUUUUAAGUCAAUCGAUACAGAACAGUACAAAGCAGAAAUCAACACAUUAAAUAAAACGCAUUAAAUAAAAUAAGGGUCAAUGCCGCCUCCCAAGUAACUGUUACUGGUGUGAAGUGAGUAUCUUCCAGCCAGGCUCUAGAUAGAGAUUAUUUUGUCAACGUGGUGCAAACUUAAACCAAAAACAAAUUACAAAGGAAAAUUGUUUGGAAAAUUUCCAUUCAUAUCUGUGGUGAAGGAGAGAGAGGAACACGUGCUUUGGGAGACGGUAAAACAGCCUCUUUCUGGUCAUUCUUUGGAUGAGAUGAGCUCUGAUAACGAAAUAGUUGGAAUUCUAAGGCAAAUAGUGCCUUUCUGAUCAAGCGUGGGCCUGAGGGGGGAGGCCCGAUGGAAAGGACAGGAACAGCCUCUAGUCCCCUGUGGGGACUUUCUGAGUGAAAGAUGGAACCAAGAUGCAGACCAUCACAGAGCAAAAGAAGGGACAAGCAGGUACGACCCAGAGUUACUGCCAAAGCAACAAACUGCGGGGCUGAGGAGACGAGCACACGGGAACAGCAAGGGGACUGGGAUAGCGAAGACGUGGAAGCUUUGAAAAAUGUUCCUGGAGCUGGUCAAAGGAAAGAAAUAGAACAAAAUAGUGUCUCAUUGGUCUAAACACUCUUAAUUAAAAUCUUUUCAGUUUCUUCUAUAUUUUUAAGAGGCGACGUCUUGCGAUUGCAGAUUAAAUGUGCUAAUUCUUAGACUCUACCUACUUAGUAAAUCUAGUCUAAGUAAGCUGAGCACGAAAAUAAACUUCUUAUUUGUUGCAUGGCUCCUUCUGUAAAAGUUUAGCAAAAUUUUCACAAAAUGAGGGUUGAUUUAACUGAGGGGGCAGUAAGGCACAAAUCUGGCCUUUCCAGCAGUCUGAGAUGCUGCCUGUCUGACUCAGGGGACUGACUUUAUCACUCACUAGCCUAAGGGAGCCAAGGACACUCCGAGAUUGAGAAAGGAAACAUUCUCCCCUGCCCCGCAGCUUUUCGAGGAUAAAGGCUUCCAGACUGCAGCCAGCAGAGCAGCAAGCCCUUAAAACUUGGUCCAACUUUCCUUGGUUCUCACUUGCAUAUUAAAAUCUCAAAUUGAUGUCCGCCUUUAAUACCAUUCUCUCUGGUUAAUGAUGGAGAGCAGACCCAAGCCAUUGACAGCCCACUGUCAUGGAGCAUGCCCUGGUCCAUGAGCUUGACCUGGAUUAGCUGUUGGCACUCAUAAUUCUCUAUAAGGCAAGCACUAUUAUUAUCCCCAUUUUACAGAUGAGGACAUGGAGGCAGAGAGAAGUUAAGCUACCUGCCCAAGGUCACAGAGCUAGUAUGUGAGGCUCCAGUGUAUACUCUGAGCAAAGGGCCCAGUGCCAAAAACCUGACUCAUGAAGACUGGGGGCAACUAAAGUUAGGACGUGGACCAAAUUUCCUUAAAACAAGCCAGUGUCCCUGCUGUAAGCUAAUUAUUUCAAGUGGCUUUGGAGUCACAAAAUCCCACAGUAAACCCCCUCCGGCAGUGUAUUAUACUGGCUGCUGGCCUCCUGACCUUGCCCCAC
ensembl:lncRNA